GGUGAGCCGGACGCAGGCGUGCCUGCGCAGUGCGCGGAGGAGUGCUGUUCGUGUGUUCGAGUCCCUGGGUUGCUUCCUGGGGUCUGUGGUGCUGGGUGUGCUAUCUGCGUGUGAUUCUCUAGCGAGAGAUUGUGGGCGAGUGACCGAGUGGGCAAGGGGCCGUCACUGUGUGUGCGUGAUUUUGACAGUGUGUGGUGGUAGCUUCUGACUCCGCGUGGGUCGUUGAAUGUAUGACUGGGACCGUUUAGCGGUGGAUACACAACUGUGUGCGGCUGUGGAAGAUUGCCUCAUCCGUUACGUUCCCAUUUCCGUGGAACAACAGUUUUACCAGAAGGUUUCGAAGGAACCUUAAAGUUUGGAAGCGUAAGAGUUUAUCUGAGAUGGGAGCCUCACUGUAUUGCCCAGGCUGGUCUUGAACUCCGGAGCUCAAGUGAUCGUCUUGCUUCAGCCUUGCAAAAUGAUGGUGAAGCUGCAUCAUUGUCUGGGGUAAAUACCUGAGGUUCGUUGUCUCACGCCAAGGGAAUCAAGGACGUGGACACACAAGAAGUGAGUUUAAGAGCGGAGGUUUAAUAGGCGAAAGAGAAAAGAGAAUAGCUCUAGCUCCUGCAGAGAGAAAAGGGCUCCCAAGUAGGACUUCCAGUCCGUGGCGAAGGGCACGGGGUUUAUAGACUGGCUUCAGGAGGUGGUGUCUGAUUUACGUAGGCCCCAAAGAUUGGUUGGACCAGGUGUGCCAAUCAGAAGCUGGCUGCCCCACCCUAAUCUUUUAUUAUGCAGAUGGAGUCCCUGUCUGACCGGGCCAUGUUGUAUGUUCCUUGCUGUACACGUGGUUGACAAAGAAAAGGGAAGAUGGAGCUGCGAUGUUGGACAUGCCUGGCCCCCAGGUAGCUUUUUCCUAUUGGCACAGCUGCUGGCAUUCACCCGUGCAAACUUCCAGCUUGCUUAUCUAUGUCUGCAGCUUGAUUUUUCAGGCUGCUGUUUGUUAGAAAAGAAAUGACUUGGGGGCUGCUUUUCAUUAAAAGGAAAACCUUACCGGGGAUUUCCUUACCCUCACUAUCUGCCUAAAUAAUUUCUUUUUAACUCCUAUGUCACUUGGGAUUACAGGCAUGAGCCGCUGUGCCUGCUAGAGGGUUUUUUAUCUUUAUUCCUCAAGAUUUUGCAUUUAGAUAAUUAUGUUAAACUUGGGUGUGCUAGGUAGACAUACGUCUGCUGAUUACCUGUUUAGGAAGAAUGUGGAUUCGUACGUAGGGAAAAGGAGUCAGGCUGGUGGGACCAGGGGAAAGCAAAGAGAUAAAGCAAAUAAGCUAUAGAUCUGCAUUUUCUUCAUGGUCCAGGAUAUAUAAACAAAAAAAGGAAGCAGAUAAGCUAUAGGCUUGCUUUUCUUUAUGACCCAGGACAUACAGCCCUGCCGAGCAAAUAAUGAACGUAACUCACAAACUUCCUGCUUAUCAUCAAACGCACGCAUCCACUUAUCAUCAAACACCUCGGGUGACAGAAGAAUGCAGGUCAGCUCCCUGCUGCCUUGGCAUUAUCAAUCAGCCCAGGAACCAUCCUAUAAAAUCUCCAGCAAGCCUUUGUUUCCUUGCAGUCAGCUCCUCUUCCACUGAUUCUGCCUGUUGCUCCCUGAUAACAUACUUUGAUACUGUCUUUAAUAAAUCUGCCUUUCUUCACCCACAAAAAAAAAAAAAAAA
rnacentral:lncRNA from 1 species